GACGAACGCUGGCGGCGUGCCUAAUACAUGCAAGUCGAACGCAGUGGGGACGGGUGAGUAACACGUGGGUAACCUCCCAUCAGAGGGGAUAACACUUGGAAACAGGUGCUAAACCGAUACUGAUGGAUGGACCCGCGGUGCAUUAGCUAGUUGGUGGGGUAACGGCUCACCAAGGCCACGAUGCAUAGCCGACCUGGGAGGGUGAACGGGCAAAAUGGGAACGGGAAACGGCCCAGACUCCUACGGGAGGCAGCAGGAGGGAAUUUUCGGCAAUGGACGGAAGUCUGACCGAGCAACGGCGGGUGAGUGAAGAAGGGUUUCGGAGCGUAAAGCUCUGUUGUGAGAGAAGCGGUAACUAAACAGAAAGGGACGGCUAACUACGUGCCAGCAGCCGCGGUAAUUC
rnacentral:rRNA from 1 species